rnacentral:rRNA from 1 species
AGAGUUUGAUCCUGGCUCAGGAUGAACGCUAGCGGCAGGCUUAACACAUGCAAGUCGAGGGGCAGCGAGAUUGUUAGCAAUAACGAUUGUCGGCGACCGGCGCAAGGGUGCGUAACGCGUGAGCAACUUGCCCGUUUCAGGGGGAUAACCGGUGGAAACGCCGACUAAUACCCCAUAGCAUCAUAUUAAGGCAUCUUAAUAUGAUUAAAGAAUUUCGGAAACGGAUAGGCUCGCGUCACAUUAGCUAGACGGCGGGGUAACGGCCCACCGUGGCGACGAUGUCUAGGGGUUCUGAGAGGAAGGUCCCCCACACUGGAACUGAGACACGGUCCAGACUCCUACGGGAGGCAGCAGUGAGGAAUAUUGGUCAAUGGUCGAAGGACUGAACCAGCUAUGCCGCGUGAAGGUGACGGCCCUAUGGGUCUUAAACUUCUUUUGCGAGGGAGCAAUAAGGGUCACGUGUGGCCUGAUGAGAGUACCUCGCGAAUAAGCAUCGGCUAACUCCGUGCCAGCAGCCGCGGUAAUACGGGGGAUGCAAGCGUUAUCCGGAUUUAUUGGGUUUAAAGGGUGCGUAGGCGGUCUGGUAAGUCAGCGGUGAAAUUUAGGGGCUCAACCUCUACCGUGCCGUUGAUACUGUCAGGCUAGAAUGCGGAUGCCGUGGGAGGAAUGUGUGGUGUAGCGGUGAAAUGCAUAGAUAUCACACAGAACACCGAUUGCGAAGGCAUCUCACGAAUCCGCGAUUGACGCUGAUGCACGAAAGCGUGGGGAUCAAACAGGAUUAGAUACCCUGGUAGUCCACG